UCUUUGAGAGCCCAUGGACUGUAGCCCACCAGGCUCCUCUGUCCAUGGGAUUUCCCAGACAAGAAUACUGGAGUGGGUGGCCAUUUCCUACUCCAGGGGAUCUUCCCGACCCAGGGAUGGAACCCGCAUCUCCUGCGACUCCUGCAUCUCCUGCGUUGGCAGGCAGAUUCUUUCCUGCUGAGACCUGAAGCCACCCAGCAUGGCUAGGGGCCCUGCUACCAGCUUAGCUUCGGAACGAAGGGGCUAGAAGAACACAGGACAGCUUUCUCCAAGAGAUUUAGAGCCAGAGAUGGCAAAGAAGUGGAGGAGGAUCUCCCUGCUUCUCUUCUGAGUCCACUUUUCCAGCAGUUUCAUCAGCUUCAACAUCCACCCCCCACCCCCCGUAAGAAUCUGACUCCACCACAGCUCCCUACAGCCAGUGACCUUGCUUUUCUGCUUCUUGGUCCCAGCACACGGCACGUGCACGUGAAGAGUGUGAUCUCAACAACUUGCCACAAUAGAAAUCUGAAGCUUACGAGCAGCAAUGAUGUUACAGGCCAUAUAGUGCGGCUCCUGCCAUUGAACUCAGAAGCAGCAAAGACCUGCCCAAGGUCACAGAGAUGAUGGAAGAGAUUCAGCCAGGAUGCCUGAUCUGAUUUUCAGAGAUCAGCCAAAGCUAAAGCUAGUUCACUUGGCUUAGUUUGGGAACCAGGGGACCCUGUUGGGAUCCCAUACCAGAUCCCCUGCGUUGGCUCCAGCUGAAGCUCAGUUACUGCUGGAAGAGGCAUGAUGCUCUCAUAAUGAAAUAAUAUCUUUAGCAAAGAUCCUUGAGGCUACUUAACUGUGAAAUAAUUACAUGGGCCUCAAAACUGGGAGAUCAAGUGUUUCUAUUCCAACAUCCCAUGAUGCUCUUAGAAAAAGCUUCACUAUAAACUGCAGGUGGGGUGGGGAGAGGCAAGAUUUCUGAGCCAGGACACAGUGUUUUAAUUCCACCUUUUAUGUUUUGGCAUCAUCUCAUCUAUGU
ensembl:lncRNA